UGUGUGUUAGCGCAGUGGGUUAGCGCAGUGUCAGUGCUGAAGUCUGAAGUUGUGGGUUCGAGCCCCAGCAGGUGUAG